rnacentral:misc_RNA from 1 species
AAAAAAACUGAGUUUUGAGGCCAGUGGACCCAAAUAAUUCCUGUCUGCUGAAUAAUAAAGAAGCUAGCUCUGGCAAAAUAUAAUCAGAGUAUACUCUAAAUAAUUCAGAAGACUGAAAACCCAAGUACACUAAGCUGAGUCCUUAUUAGCAGAAUCAAAAUCAUAAUUAUGUUGCAAGAUUGGAUUGCUCCUUUGAUGAUAUACAAGGUUUUUCUUUGUUCAGUUAGCAGAAUUAAGUCAGAUUGUUUGUGUUCAAUAGUAUUCAGGCAUAUGUUGUUUGAUGUUGAAAUUGAGGUAAACAAUCUGACCAUAUAAUGUCAUGUAGCCAACAAUAUCCAGUGCACAACAAACAACUAUCUUUUAAUCUCAUUGUCUUCCACAAAUGCAGGAAGCUACUAUAUGUGAACUCUCCAACAUGACCAUUCAAAACUUCAUGUAUAUUAUUCCGACAUGAUGUUCACCUCACAAAACGAAAAUUAGCACAAUUAGACCUAAAUUUAACAACUUAAGUCAUAGUAUCAAGUAAAUAUUAUCUAUUCACAUAUAUAUUGGGCACAAACAACAUUCAUCCAAAGUAGCAAAUCUAACAAACACAUUAUGCACCACAUAGGUAAACAAAAUGGAGCAUAUAAAAAUAAAAAUAACAUCAAAU